GAAAAGGUAAGCUAAAAUAAGCUAAUGGGUUCAUACCUCAUCUAUAGAAUUUAAUUCUCCUUUUUA
rnacentral:tRNA from 1 species